rnacentral:rRNA from 1 species
CAGUCGCCGCGGUAAUACGGAGGGUGCAAGCGUUAUCCGGAUUUAUUGGGUUUAAAGGGUCCGUAGGCGGACUUAUAAGUCAGUGGUGAAAGCCUGUCGCUUAACGAUAGAACUGCCAUUGAUACUGUAAGUCUUGAGUAUAUUUGAGGUAGCUGGAAUAAGUAGUGUAGCGGUGAAAUGCAUAGAUAUUACUUAGAACACCAAUUGCGAAGGCAGGUUACCAAGAUAUAACUGACGCUGAGGGACGAAAGCGUGGGUAGCGAACAGGAUUAGAUACCCGCGUAGUCCCUGUCUCUUAUAA